rnacentral:lncRNA from 1 species
AGGCGGUGGCAUCUGUGCAGCAUCUAAUGAUGAUAUCUGCGGAAUAUGCGGUGAUGGCAUAUGUGAAACAUAUGGUGAUGGCGUAUAUCUCAUAUCUGGUGUUGGAGCUGCUCCAUACCAAAGUACACAGCUAUAUGGAUCAAAACCAAUUGCCACCAAUAUUUCGAAACUUGUUCUCUCUAUCUCCCGCAGUAUCCGAAUCCG